GGGUGAGUAACACGUGAGGAACCUGCCCUGUACACCGGGAUAACCGCGGGAAACCGUGGCUAAUACCGGAUGCUCCACCACGAUCGCAUGGUCGAGGUGGGAAAGCUCAGGCGGUACAGGAGGGCCUCGCGGCGUAUCAGCUAGUUGGUGAGGUAAUGGCUCACCAAGGCGUCGACGCGUAGCUGGAGUGAGAGCUCGAACAGCCACACUGGGACUGAGACACGGCCCAGACUCCUACGGGAGGCAGCAGUGGAGAAUCUUGCGCAAUGGGCGAAAGCCUGACGCAGCCACGCCGCGUGCGGGAAGAAGGCCUUCGGGUCGUAAACCGCUUUCAGGAGGGAAGAAGCGAAAGUGACGGUACCUCCAGAAGAAGCCCCGGCCAACUACGUGCCAGCAGCCGCGGUAAUACGUAGGGGGCAAGCGUUAUCCGGAAUUAUUGGGCGUAAAGCGCAUGUAGGCGGCCAUGUAAGUCGGUUGUGAAAUCUCGGGGCUCAACCCCGAA
rnacentral:rRNA from 1 species